UUAGUGCUGCAGCUAACGCAUUAAGUAAUCCGCCUGGGGAGUACGACCGCAAGGUUGAAACUCAAAAGAAUUGACGGGGGCCCGCACAAGCGGUGGAGCAUGUGGUUUAAUUCGAAGCUACGCGAAGAACCUUACCAGGUCUUGACAUCUUCUGACAGUCUAAGAGAUUAGAGGUUCCCUUCGGGGACAGAAUGACAGGUGGUGCAUGGUUGUCGUCAGCUCGUGUCGUGAGAUGUUGGGUUAAGUCCCGCAACGAGCGCAACCCUUAUUACUAGUUGCCACCAUUAAGUUGGGCACUCUAGUGAGACUGCCGGUGACAAACCGGAGGAAGGUGGGGACGACGUCAAAUCAUCAUGCCCCUUAUGACCUGGGCUACACACGUGCUACAAUGGAUGGUACAACGAGUCUCCAUACCGCCAGGUUAAUCUAAUCUCUUAAAACCAUUCUCAGUUCGGACUGUAGGCUGCAACUCUCCUACACUAAGUCGG
rnacentral:rRNA from 1 species